rnacentral:rRNA from 1 species
UACGUAGGGGCUAGCGUUGUCCGGAUUUAUUGGGCGUAAAGAGCUCGUAGGCGGCUUGUCGCGUCGAUCCGUGAAAACCCGGGGCUCAACUCCGGGCUUGCGGGUCGAUACGGGCAGGCUGAGAGUUCGGUAGGGGAGUGACUGGAAUUCCGUGGUGUAGCGGUGAAAUGCGACAGAUAUCAGGAGGAACAGACCGAUGGCGAAGGCAGGUCUCUGGGCCACCUACUGACGCUGAGAAGCGAAAGCAUGGGGAGCGAACAGG